GUUUCAGCAGCCGCGGUAAUACAGAGGUCCCAAGCGUUGUUCGGAUUUACUGGGCGUAAAGGGUGCGUAGGUGGCAGGGUAAGUUCAGUGUGAAAGCUUCGAGCUUAACUCGGAAAUGGCAUUGAAAACUAUCCUGCUCGAGGGUCGGAGGGGAGACUGGAAUUCUCGGUGUAGCAGUGAAAUGCGUAGAUAUCGAGAGGAACACCAGUGGCGAAGGCGGGUCUCUGGACGACUCCUGACACUGAGGCACGAAAGCUAGGGGAGCAAACAGGAUUAGAAACCCGUGUAGUCC
rnacentral:rRNA from 1 species